UACGUAGGGGGCUAGCGUUGUCCGGAAUCAUUGGGCGUAAAGAGCGUGUAGGCGGUCCGGUAAGUCCGCUGUGAAAGUCGGGGGCUCAACCCUCGAAUGCCGGUGGAUACUGUCGGGCUAGAGUGCGGAAGAGGCGAGUGGAAUUCCUGGUGUAGCAGUGAAAUGCGUAGAUAUCAGGAGGAACACCGAUGGCGAAGGCAGGUCUCUGGGCUGACACUGACGCUCAUGCACGAAAGCGUGGGGAGCAAACGGG
rnacentral:rRNA from 1 species